rnacentral:lncRNA from 1 species
AUUUGUUCUUUAACUUCUUUUGGAGAAUCAUAUUACUUAAUUUCCAAUUAAUUUUUAUUUUCCUCUCCAUGUACCCUUGCUAAUUAUUAUUUUUAUUGAAUUAUGAUCUGAAAAUGUUGCAUUUAUUAUUUCUGAUUUUUUGUACUUGUUUGCUAUGUUUUUAUGCCCUAGUAGAGAGGCCCCCAACUAUGGUCCACGGGCCACUUUCAGCCCCCUAAGGCUAUGUUUCUGGCCCCCACCACACUUCUGGAAUGGGCACCUCUUUCACUGGUAGUCAGUUAUAGGGGGAUUAUAUGUGGCGGAGGCUCAAACUGAAGCAUCGCUCAUUUACAGUACUACUUCCGGUGAUAUGAUCCUUUGUGUGGCACCUUAAAACUAGGUGCCACACAAAGGAUUAUGUGACUGAACAAUGGAAGAUGUCAGCAUGGUGAGUGGCAAUCUGGGGAAGGGAAUUCUGCUCUGUGUAUACUGAUGCCUGGUUAGGCUUAGGAUUAGGGUUAGCAUUAUGGAUAGGGUUAGGGUUAGAUUUUUAUAGUCCAGCCCUCCAAAGGUCUGAGGGACAACUAGCUCCCAGUGUAAAAGUUUGGAGACCCCUGCCCUAGUACAAAGUCAAUCUUUGUGAAUAGCCAUAUGUUGCUGAAUAGAAGGUGAGGCCCAAUAGAUUUUGCUCGAACCUUUAAUUCUACCCUUGUGAAUGUCUACCUGCCUCAUGUGUGUUUCUUGUAGACAACAUAUGGUUAGGAGAAGAAGAGUCCGGGGUCUACACUGCCACCAUGUUUACCUGGAAAUCAUGAGACAGAUUCUUAUCAAGCCUACCUUCCAUAAGAGCUUCUCCAGCAAAGUGAAGUCUGGUUCAGCACCCCUGCAGAAGGCUUCCUCAAGUCUCAAUCUCCAUGUGGAGUCUUCAGCCAGAAGUCCACAAGUUCAGCCUCUUCCAAAGCCAAGACAAGAAUCUCAGCCACUCACCCAGCAAGCCAAAGCAGCAUCCAGGGAAAGAUUCUUCUCUAAAGUGAAGGAAACACAGAGUCCUCCUCCAAUCCAGCUCACAGUUGAAGGGUGCAUGACCUUUUUAAAGCAGUUUUCUUGA